CCUACGGGUGGCUGCAGUGGGGAAUAUUGGACAAUGGGGGCAACCCUGAUCCAGCCAUGCCGCGUGUGUGAAGAAGGCCCUCGGGUUGUAAAGCACUUUCAGUGAGGAAGAACGCCUGGUGGUUAAUACCCAUCAGGAAAGACAUCACUCACAGAAGAAGCACCGGCUAACUCCGUGCCAGCAGCCGCGGUAAUACGGAGGGUGCGAGCGUUAAUCGGAAUUACUGGGCGUAAAGCGCGCGUAGGUGGCUUGAUAAGCCGGUUGUGAAAGCCCCGGGCUCAACCUGGGAACGGCAUCCGGAACUGUCAAGCUAGAGUGCAGGAGAGGAAGGUAAAAUUCCCGGUGUAGCGGUGAAAUGCGUAGAGAUCGGGAGGAAUACCAGUGGCGAAGGCGGCCUUCUGGACUGACACUGACACUGAGGUGCGAAAGCGUGGGUAGCAAACAGGAUUAGAUACCCCAGUAGUC
rnacentral:rRNA from 1 species